CUUGCUAAAAUAUAAGAGGUCCAGCCUGCCCAGUGACCCAGUUCAACGGCCGCGGUAUCCUAACCGUGCGAAGGUAGCGUAAUCACUUGUUCUUUAAAUGGGGACUAGUAUGAAUGGCAUCACGAGGGUUGAACUGUCUCCUUUCUCUAAUCAGUGAAACUAAUCUCCCCGUGAAGAAGCGGGAAUCAUUUUAUAAGACGAGAAGACCCUAUGGAGCUUAAAACAAAUUGACACCUGCUUCCACCUACUUCAAUUCCUGAAUAAAUAUACAAAAUAUAGCAUCAUUGAUCAAUAGUUUUAGAUUGGGGUGAUCAUGGAGCAAAAAACAACCUCCACGACGAAAAGGAAUAUCCCCCUGAGCCAAAAGCCACAACUUUAAGCACUAAAAAAUUAACGCAUCUUGACCCAAUUUUUUGAGCAACGAAC
rnacentral:rRNA from 1 species